AGAGUUUGAUCAUGGCUCAGGAUGAACGCUAGCGGCAGGCCUAAUACAUGCAAGUCGAACGGUAAGUAUGAUAGCAAUAUUAUACGAGAGUGACGUACGGGUGCGUAACACGUAUGCAACCUACCCUUUACAGGCGGAUAGCUCGGGGAAACUCGAAUUAACCCGUCAUAAUAUAAUUGGAUGGCAUCAUUUGAUUAUUAAAACUCCGGUGGUAAAGGAUGGGCAUGCGUCUGAUUAGUUAGUUGGCGGGGUAACGGCCCACCAAGACGAUGAUCAGUAGGGGAACUGAGAGGUUGAUCCCCCACACUGGCACUGAGAUACGGGCCAGACUCCUACGGGAGGCAGCAGUAGGGAAUAUUGGUCAAUGGAUGCAAGUCUGAACCAGCCAUGCCGCGUGCAGGAAGAAGGCCUUCUGGGUUGUAAACUGCUUUUGUCAGGGGAUAAAAUUUCCUUGCGAGGAAAAUGAAGGUACCUGGCGAAUAGCCCCGAUUCCCUC
rnacentral:rRNA from 1 species